GUACAAUUUUUUUUCCGGCUUUUAUUGUUCUACAUAUAAAUAUAAAUUUUUAUUUCACUAUUGCUUAGAGGGAAAUAAUGAUCACUCCUAUGUUACUAUAAUAGUUAGAACUUAACACUAUGAAGUUAAGAUUUUUACUCACACUAUUGAUUGUAUUUUACUUAACUUCUGGGAGGUGCUCACGCUCCUAUAAUUCCGUUCAAGUUACUGCUGUUAGCACAGCAUCUUCUACUCCGAAUGGUGCCUUUUCGGGUUCAUUUCAAAGUAUAAGCACUGGUGCACCCCGAAAUCCUACAUUCAAUAUGUUUCCACCAUGUUUUCCUUUUUGCAAUGAAGACUAAUUAACCGUAAGUAAUAUCCUGUCAUGAUAAAACUGGGUAGCAGUACCAGUAAGUUAUAUUAAUAUAAUAUAAUAAGACACCUCACAUCACUGUUCUGUUUCGUCCAGAUACAGCGCCAGCACCACAGAGUACUUAUUAGGUAUAGGUAGUCUUUUACUUGGGCUGUAUGCCUACUAUGGUUUCCAUAAGCUACACUGAACGACAUUUUUGAAAAAUGUCAACAAACAACCUUAACCUCAAAGCAUUCAAGCUUUCACGUAAGGUAGUUAUUCGAAUUGUGACUAAAAUGGUUUCUUUUU